AGCAGCCGCGGUAAUUCCAGCUCCAAUAGCGUAUAUUAAAGUUGUUGUGGUUAAAAAGCUCGUAGUUGAACCUUGGGCCUGGCUGGCCGGUCCGCCUCACCGCGUGUACUGGUCCGGCCGGGCCUUUCCCUCUGUGGAACCCCAUGCCCUUCACUGGGUGUGGCGGGGAAACAGGACUUUUACUUUGAAAAAUUAGAGUGCUCCAGGCAGGCCUAUGCUCGAAUACAUUAGCAUGGAAUAAUAGAAUAGGACGUGUGGUUCUAUUUUGUUGGUUUCUAGGACCGCCGUAAUGAUUAAUAGGGACAGUCGGGGGCAUCAGUAUUCAAUUGUCAGAGGUGAAAUUCUUGGAUUUAUUGAAGACUAACUACUGCGAAAGCAUUUGCCAAGGAUGUUUUCAUUAAUCAGGAACGAAAGUUAGGGGAUCGAAGUCGAUCAGAUACCGUCGUAGUCUUAACCAUAAACUAUGCCGACUAGGGAUCGGACGAUGGUUAUUUUUUGACUCGUUCGGCACCUUACGGGA
rnacentral:misc_RNA from 1 species